rnacentral:rRNA from 1 species
UACGUAGGGGGCAAGCGUUGUCCGGAUUUAUUGGGCGUAAAGAGCGUGUAGGCGGUUUGGUAGGUCCGCUGUGAAAACUCGAGGCUCAACCUCGAGACGCCGGUGGAAACCAUCAGACUAGAGUCCGGAAGAGGAGAGUGGAAUUCCUGGUAUAGCGGUGAAAUGCGCAGAUAUCAGGAAGAACACCCGUGGCUAAGGCGGCUCUCUAGUACGGUACUGACGCUGAGACGCGAAAGCGUGGGGAGCGAACAGG